rnacentral:rRNA from 1 species
GGGCCCGCACAAGCGGUGGAGCAUGUGGUUUAAUUCGAUGAUACGCGAGGAACCUUACCAGGGCUUAAAUGUAGUCUGACAGGGGUGGAAACACCCCUCCUUCGGGCAGAUUACAAGGUGCUGCAUGGUUGUCGUCAGCUCGUGCCGUGAGGUGUCAGGUUAAGUCCUAUAACGAGCGCAACCCCUAUCGUUAGUUGCCAGCGGGUAAUGCCGGGAACUCUAGCGAAACUGCCGGUGCAAACCGAGAGGAAGGUGGGGAUGACGUCAAAUCAUCACGGCCCUUACGUCCUGGCUACACACGUGCUACAAUGGCUAGGACAGACGGCCGCAAACCCGCGAGGGGGAGCC